rnacentral:rRNA from 1 species
GACGAACGCUGGCGGCGUGCUUAACACAUGCAAGUCGAACGGAGUGCCCGUGAUAGAGGUUUCGGCCAAUUGAAUGGGUUACUUAGUGGCGGACUGGUGAGUAACGCGUGAGGAACCUGCCUUUCAGAGGGGACGAACAGUUGGAACGAACUGCUAGUACCGCAUGACGCAUGACCGGGGCGAUCCCGGAUAUGCCAAAGAAUUUAUUCGCUGAAAGAUGGCCUCGCGUCUGAUUAGAUAGUUGGCGGGGUAACGGCCCACCAAGUCGACGAUCAGUAGCCGGACUGAGAGGUUGACCGGCCACAUUGGGACUGAGAUACGGCCCAGACUCCUACGGGAGGCAGCAGUGGGGAAUAUUGGGCAAUGGACGCAAGUCUGACCCAGCAACGCCGCGUGAAGGAAGAAGG